CUUUAAGACAAUUAUUUAAAGUAUCGCCUGCUCAAUGCUAAUAUAAAUAGCUGCAGUAUCACUGUACUAAGGUAGCAUAAUCAUUAGCUUCUUAAUUAGAAGAUAGUAUGAAAGGCGCAACGCAACAUAGCCUGUUUCUAAAACAACAAUUUAAAAUAAAAUAUAAGUAAAAAUUCUUUUACAAUUAAGAAGGACGACAAGACCCUGAUAAACUUCAACAUUUCGCUGGGGCGGCGAAUUAAAAAUACCUUAAAACCUACACCAACACAAAUCUAAUAUAAUUAAUUCAGAUACAGUUACUACAGGGAUAACAGCGCAACUUUUCUUAAAAGCUCUAAUAUAAAGAAAACACUGCGACCUCGAUGUUGAAUUAAUUCAGACUAUUACACGCAAAAGUUUAAGUAGGUCUGUUCGACCUUUAAACAAU
rnacentral:rRNA from 1 species